UUUCGGGNGCGGNGCCGGNCUAAGUCCCUUGGAACAGGGCGUCAUAGAGGGUGAGAAUCCCGUCUGUGACCGGCGACCAAGCCCAUGUGAAACCCCUUCGACGAGUCGAGUUGUUUGGGAAUGCAGCUCAAAACGGGUGGUAAAUUUCAUCUAAAGCUAAAUACCGGCUGGAGACCGAUAGCGCACAAGUAGAGUGAUCGAAAGAUGAAAAGCACUUUGGAAAGAGAGUUAAAAAGUACGUGAAAUUGUUGAAAGGGAAGCGCUCGCCACCAGACCUGUCCCCGGGCGAUCAGCGGCGGUUCUCCGCCGUGCACUCGUCCGGGAUCAGGCCAGCAUCGGUUCGGGCGGUCGGAUAAAGGCCGCGGGAACGUAGCUCCCCUCGAGGAGUCUUAUAGCCCGCGGUGCAAUGCGGCCCGCCCGGACCGAGGACCGCGCUUCGGCUAGGAUGCUGGCAUAAUGGUGGUGAGCGACCCGUCUUGAAACACGGACCAAGGAGUCUAACAUCUAUGCGAGUGUUUGGGUGUCAAACCCAUGCGCGGAAUGAAAGUGAACGGAGGUGAGACCCCGAAAGGGCGCAUCAUCGACCGAUCCAGAUGUCUUCGGAUGGAUUUGAGUACGAGCAUAGCUGUUGGGACCCGAAAGGUACGCCGAAGCAUUUCUUUUGUAUUCCCCUCGCCUCUCCGUGUCCCCGCUAACAGAUCGUCCAGAUGGUGAACUAUGCCUGAAUAGGGUGAAGCCAGAGGAAACUCUGGUGGAGGCUCGCAGCGGUUCUGACGUGCAAAUCGAUCGUCAAAUUUGGGUAUAGGGGCGAAAGACUAAUCGAACCAUCUAGUAGCUGGUUCCUGCCGAAGUUUCCCUCAGGAUAGCAGUAACGUUUUCAGUUUUAUGAGGUAAAGCGAUGAUUAGAGGC
rnacentral:rRNA from 1 species